ACGGGUGAGUAAUGCCUAGGAAUCUGCCUGGUAGUGGGGGAUAACGUUCGGAAACGAACGCUAAUACCGCAUACGUCCUACGGGAGAAAGCAGGGGACCUUCGGGCCUUGCGCUAUCAGAUGAGCCUAGGUCGGAUUAGCUAGUUGGUGAGGUAAUGGCUCACCAAGGCGACGAUCCGUAACUGGUCUGAGAGGAUGAUCAGUCACACUGGAACUGAGACACGGUCCAGACUCCUACGGGAGGCAGCAGUGGGGAAUAUUGGACAAUGGGCGAAAGCCUGAUCCAGCCAUGCCGCGUGUGUGAAGAAGGUCUUCGGAUUGUAAAGCACUUUAAGUUGGGAGGAAGGGCAAUUACCUAAUACGUGAUUGUUUUGACGUUACCGACAGAAUAAGCACCGGCUAACUCUGUGCCAGCAGCCGCGGUAAUACAGAGGGUGCAAGCGUUAAUCGGAAUUACUGGGCGUAAAGCGCG
rnacentral:rRNA from 1 species